UACGGAGGGUGCGAACGUUAAUCGGAAUCACUGGGCGUAAAGCGCGCGUAGGCGGUUCGUUAAGUGGGAUGUGAAAUCCCCGGGCUUAACCUGGGAAUUGCAUUUCAAACUGGCCGACUAGAGUACGGUAGAGGGAGGUAGAAUUUCCUGUGUAGCGGUGAAAUGCGUAGAUAUAGGAAGGAAUACCAGUGGCGAAGGCGGCCUCCUGGACCGGCAUUGACGCUGAGGAGCGAAAGCUAGGGGAGCAAACGGG
rnacentral:rRNA from 1 species